AUUGAACGCUGGCGGCAUGCUUUACACAUGCAAGUCGAACGGCAGCGCGGGCUUCGGCCUGCCGGCGAGUGGCGAACGGGUGAGUAAUGCAUCGGAACGUGCCCAGUAGUGGGGGAUAGCCCGGCGAAAGCCGGAUUAAUACCGCAUACGACCUGAGGGUGAAGGCGGGGGACCGAAAGGCCUCGCGCUAUUGGAGCGGCCGAUGUCGGAUUAGCUAGUUGGUGGGGUAAAGGCUUACCAAGGCGACGAUCCGUAGCUGGUCUGAGAGGACGACCAGCCACACUGGGACUGAGACACGGCCCAGACUCCUACGGGAGGCAGCAGUGGGGAAUUUUGGACAAUGGGGGCAACCCUGAUCCAGCCAUGCCGCGUGCGGGAAGAAGGCCUUCGGGUUGUAAACCGCUUUUGUUCGGGAAGAAAUCCUCUGGGCUAAUACCCCGGGGGGAUGACGGUACCGGAAGAAUAAGCACCGGCUAACUACGUG
rnacentral:rRNA from 1 species